UACAGAGGGGGCGAGCGUUGUUCGGAAUUACUGGGCGUAAAGGGCGCGUAGGCGGCCCGCUAAGUCGAACGUGAAAUCCCCAGGCUCAACCUGGGAACUGCGUCCGAUACUGGCAGGCUUGAAUCCGGGAGAGGGAUGUGGAAUUCCAGGUGUAGCGGUGAAAUGCGUAGAUAUCGGGAGGAACACCUGUGGCGAAGGCGGCCCCCUGGUUGGAUACUGACGCUGAUACGCGAAAGCGUGGGGAGCAAACAGG
rnacentral:rRNA from 1 species